AGUGAACGCUGGCGGUAGGCCUAACACAUGCAAGUCGAACGGCAGCACAGUAAGAGCUUGCUCUUACGGGUGGCGAGUGGCGGACGGGUGAGGAAUACAUCGGAAUCUACUUUUUCGUGGGGGAUAACGUAGGGAAACUUACGCUAAUACCGCAUACGACCUACGGGUGAAAGCAGGGGAUCUUCGGACCUUGCGCGAUUGAAUGAGCCGAUGUCGGAUUAGCUAGUUGGCGGGGUAAAGGCCCACCAAGGCGACGAUCCGUAGCGGGUCUCAGAGGAUGAUCAGCCACACUGGAACUGAGACACGGUCCAGACUCCUACGGGAGGCAGCAGUGGGGAAUAUUGGACAAUGGGCGCAAGCCUGAUCCAGCCAUACCGCGUGGGUGAAGAAGGCCUUCGGGUUGUAAAGCCCUUUUGUUGGGAAAGAAAAGCAGCAGGUUAAUACCCCGCUGUUCUGACGGUACCCAAAGAAUAAGCACCGGCUAACUUCGUG
rnacentral:rRNA from 1 species